rnacentral:rRNA from 1 species
AGAGUUUGAUCAUGGCUCAGGAUGAACGCUGGCGGCGUGCCUAAUACAUGCAAGUCGAACGAGGUGCUUUUGUAGCAAUACGAAAGUAUCCUAGUGGCGAACGGGUGAGUAACGCGUUGGUGACCUACCCCAAAGUGUGGGAUAACAGUUCGAAAGAACUGCUAAUACCGCAUGUGGUUAUCGGGUUUAGAAACUGAUAACUAAAGGAGCAAUUCGCUUUGGGAGGGACCUGCGUCCCAUCAGCUAGUUGGUGAGGUAACGGCUCACCAAGGCUACGACGGGUAGGGGACCUGAGAGGGUGACCCCCCACAAUGGAACUGAAACACGGUCCAUACACCUACGGGUGGCAGCAGUAGGGAAUAUUGCACAAUGGGCGAAAGCCUGAUGCAGCAACGCCGCGUGUGCGAUGAAGGCCUUCGGGUCGUAAAGCACUUUUCUGAGAGAUGAGCAAGGACAGUAUCUCAGGAAUAAGUCUCGGCUAACUACGUGCCAGCAGCCGCGGUAAAACGUACGAGGCGAGCGUUAUCCGGAUUCACUGGGCGUAAAGCGCGUGCAGGCGGUUCGGUAAGUUGGGUAUGAAAUCUCCUGGCUUAACUAGGAGAGGUUAUCCAAUACUACCGGACUUGAGAGUGGUAGAGGAAGAUGGAAUUCCCGGUGUAGUGGUGAAAUGCGUAGAUAUCGGGAGGAACACCAGUGGCGAAAGCGAUCUUCUGGACCAUUUCUGACGCUCAGACGCGAAAGCUAGGGUAGUAAACAGGAUUAGAUACCCUGGUAGUCCAUGCCGUAAACGAUGUCUACUAGCCGUUGGGGUCUUUGAGACCUUAGUGGCGCAGCUAACGCGAUAAGUAGACCGCCUGGGGAGUACGGUCGCAAGACUAAAACUCAAAUGAAUUGACGGGGGCCCGCACAAGCGGUGGAGCAUGUGGUUUAAUUCGAUGCAACGCGAAGAACCUUACCUGGCCUUGACAUACUAAGAACUUUCCAGAGAUGGAUUGGUGCCUUCGGGAACUUAGAUACAGGUGCUGCAUGGCUGUCGUCAGCUCGUGUCGUGAGAUGUUGGGUUAAGUCCCGCAACGAGCGCAACCCUUUUCCUUAUUUGCCAGCGAGUAAUGUCGGGAACUUUAAGGAUACUGCCAGUGACAAACUGGAGGAAGGCGGGGACGACGUCAAGUCAUCAUGGCCCUUACGGCCAGGGCUACACACGUGCUACAAUGGUCGGUACAAAGGGUUGCUACCUAACGAUAGGAUGCUAAUCUCAAAAAGCCGAUCGUAGUCCGGAUUGGAGUCUGCAACUCGACUCCAUGAAGUCGGAAUCGCUAGUAAUCGCGGAUCAGAAUGCCGCGGUGAAUACGUUCCCGGGCCUUGUACACACCG